GCUCCACCAGUUUAUAUAAUAUUCCCUUAUGCCAAGCGGAAUCGAAUGCUUUUUCAAUGUCUAACGAUAAAGCUACCGUACAUAUUUUAUAUCUCAGUUUUUUUGUGAUGUCACCGUGGAAUUUCAGAAGAGCAUGUUGAGUCGAGUGAAAUUGUUUGAAGCCAAAUUGAAAUGCAGAUAUCGGACUAACUAUGAAUUCUCCUUCCAGUUUAUCCUUCAAGACGUGUUCAAAUAUCUUUCCAAUGUUUGAGAGCAUUGAAAUAGGGCGAAAAUCUUCGAUAUUGUUGCUGUUCUCCUUUUUCCUCAACGGAAUUAUCUUAGCCGAUUUCCACACAGCUGGAAAAUAGUAAUUGUUAAUACAAUUAUUAAAGAUGAUGACCCAACAUUAGUAAAGUGGUAUGCAUCUUGGUUUUCAACAGAGUUAAAUAAUCCAUCGAACGAGUAAAUAUGCUGGGGAAUGACAUCAACACAAGACGAAAUACGGGCAUCUAUAUCCGCAAUGGCUCCUUCCGGAAUAUUUUCGCUGUAUACUGUUGCAUAGUAUUCUCGGAAGUGCUCCGAAAUUUCAGAUUCAUUGGAGAUAAUGGUGUUGUUGACACAAACUGAUUUGCAAAAUGUUGACUUUCUUUUUCCCAUUAGUUUAUAUACUUCCUUGAACGCAGAUGGGCCUGGUUUAAUUUUCUCAAGUUUACUAUUAAAACUCUUCGCUUGUUCGAUAAUUACUAGUUCUUUUAUAAUCGUCCUUAAAAGCUGGACUUGCUUCGAUAGUAUAAUAUACUCCUGACUCAGCCUGUUUCCGGUGCGAUGAUAAAUCCUUUUUAACUCUUUUUGCCAUCUAUGCUUUACUUUGAAGAAUUUUCUUAUAUUCUCAGAAAGUGGUAAUUUGUUGUUCUUUAUUUCAAUUUUUUCCGUGUGGUUGUUAUGAGCAGUUAUUAAGUUGGUAUUAAACACAUUUAUCAAUCGGUCAAUUUCAUGAUUCUCAAUAUUUCUAUUCUCAGAAGGUAACAGACUGCAAGAGACAUUUUCCAUUUCGCGCUGAAAAAGGUUCCAAUUGGUAUUCUUGUAGGAUGUAUAACGGCGAGGUAUUUGUAAAAUGAAUUCACAGGAUUCUAAUCUUAAUUCCAAUUUGAUGGGAUAAUGGUCUGAGAACGAAGAAAGACUUGAUGUUCUAAAAUUAUCAGAGCUGGUGUUAAUUACAUGAGGACUUAGUAAAAAGUGGUCAAGAAAAGAUGAGCCAUUCGGAUACGAAGGCGUAAUGUCGCAAAGCCGAACCACAUCUAAAGCGUUAUCAAGGAGCCAACUUUUGAGUACCUUUCCGUUGCCAUUUUCAAUUAAAUCGCCCCAAACCGGAUUCUUGGCAUUUAGGUCACCACCUAAUAUAAAACCAUCAAAUCCACUGGCCAUAUCUAAAAUUUUACUUAGUCCAUCGGAGAGAGAAGAAGAAGUAUAGUUGCACGGAAUAUAUAUGGAACCAAUUAAAAACUUUUUACGUAUUUCAUUUAUGUUAAAAUCCACUUGAAUAAAAAUUCCAUUGAAUCCAAUGUUGGAAAUAUCUAUAAGAUUGUAAGAAA